AUGAACGCUGGCUACAGGCUUAACACAUGCAAGUCGAGGGGAAACGACGGGGAAGCUUGCUUCCCCGGGCGUCGACCGGCGCACGGGUGAGUAACGCGUAUCCAACCUGCCUCUGACUGAGGGAUAACCCGUCGAAAGUCGGCCUAAUACCUCAUGGCAUCGUCUGCGGGCAUCCAACGACGAUUAAAGAUUUCAUCGGUCAGAGAUGGGGAUGCGUCUGAUUAGCUUGUUGGCGGGGUAACGGCCCACCAAGGCGACGAUCAGUAGGGGUUCUGAGAGGAAGGUCCCCCACAUUGGAACUGAGACACGGUCCAAACUCCUACGGGAGGCAGCAGUGAGGAAUAUUGGUCAAUGGGCGAGAGCCUGAACCAGCCAAGUAGCGUGCAGGAUGACGGCCCUAUGGGUUGUAAACUGCUUUUAUGCGGGGAUAAAGUGAGGGACGUGUCCUUCAUUGCAGGUACCGCAUGAAUAAGGACCGGCUAAUUCCGUG
rnacentral:rRNA from 1 species